UAACUAUUUAGCAAAAUGAAUCCUGUUAUUUAAUCAAUUUAAAAUGUAGAUAUAAACAAAGUAAAUGUAAAUCAAUUAUAUUUUAAAGUAAAUUGAUUGGCAAAGAGAACUCAUAAGAGGGCAAAGAGGAAGAGAGAGAUGUCAAAUGUUCUCAGGAAGAUCGAUGAGGUCUGCUGGUGGUACCGAGAAGAAGAAGUGAUCUACGAGGAGUUCAAUUUUUAUCCCAUAAUUUUAGUUGUAGUAGUGUGCUCAUUUAGCUCUACAAAACUUGGGAAUUGAAUUAAAAUUUUUGCUGUGUUGGUUUUUGAACGUUUGCCAAUUUACCAUUAAUGAGUGA